UCUUUCUGUUCAAACUCCUCUCCCUUAGUGGAUUAUCCAGAAACCCCUCCCAUGGAGCCUCUGAGGUGCCUCUGAUUCAGCAGCCACAUGAAGCAGAUAACUCUGUAUUUUGAAAGGCAGCCCUAAUGGCUCCCAUUUUGUGCUCUGGGGCAUAAACUGAUUACGGCUGCAGUCAGAAAGGAAGGCUGGCUGUGAAUCUCUGCCUGCUGCUCUGGGAAACAGGCUGGAUCCAUGCAGACUGUGUUCCUCUGCUGCUGGCUCCUCAUCCUGCUGUUAACGUGAGGCUUGCUCUGAAUGCAAUUACAAACUGACAGAUCCUUGGAGAGGAAAUGGAACUUAGUCAGCACACUGAAGAUCCUGUGCUGCUCUGGUGUAUAACUCUAAAACUAUAACUCUAAACUCCACAGCCUGUCAGCCAUCAUUCUUCCACUUUAUUCAGACACAACAAUUCCUCUCUGGGUUUGGAACUCAAGGACACCUCACUGCCUCAGGCCCCAAAAAGUAUAAACUCAAGUGAAUUGGGAGAGCAAACUGGGGGCAAAUGACUUCAUUACCUGCAGCUGGAAUUGGAGCAUUAACCCCUGAUAUGUGAAUGUCCCAAACUGAUAAUCAUGUGAAAAACUCGUGCCCAUCGCCCACCUUGGCUGCAGCCUCUGGAGGCUGUGGCUGCCCAAGCUGUGCCUGCUGAAGGCUUUAAUAAAUCCCCACUUUAUUCUCUUAACCUUGCCUGGCCU